UGCGAACUCCUACGGGAGGCAGCAGUGGGGAAUCUUAGACAAUGGGGGAAACCCUGAUCUGGCCAUGCCGCGUGAGUGAUGAAGGCCUUAGGGUUGUAAAGCUCUUUCAGCUGGGAAGAUAAUGACGGUACCAGCAGAAGAAGCCCCGGCUAACUCCGUGCCAGCAGCCGCGGUAAUACGGAGGGGGCUAGCGUUGUUCGGAAUUACUGGGCGUAAAGCGCACGUAGGCGGACUAUUAAGUCAGGGGUGAAAUCCCGGGGCUCAACCCCGGAACUGCCUUUGAUACUGGUAGUCUAGAGAUCGAGAGAGGUGAGUGGAAUUCCGAGUGUAGAGGUGAAAUUCGUAGAUAUUCGGAGGAACACCAGUGGCGAAGGCGGCUCACUGGCUCGAUACUGACGCUGAGGUGCGAAAGCGUGGGGAGCAAACAGGAUUAGAAACCCCAGUAGUCCAGAUG
rnacentral:rRNA from 1 species